CAAAAAUAAAAAAAUAUAUAAACCGAAAAGAGCCCAUCUGUAUUUCUAUACUGGAAAAAAAAAAAAGCUCACUUGUUCUUCUAGGGUUUCACAAGAUCUCUUUUGCCUCUGCAAAACACGAGCGAAUUGCGAUUUCUAGGGUUACGAUUUGUGUUUGUUCGGGUGUUUGAUGGUCCGAGGAGUGAUUUGAGGGUAUAAAUCUUGAUUUUUUCUGGAAGAUUUUGAAGAGAGAAAGGAAACGAUGGCGCCUUUUGACAAAGAGCUUGAAGAGCAGAUUGCUGUUGCUGGGAACAAGCUGAUUGAGCCUCCUUCUUCACUUGAAGAACUCCUCCGUUUGCUUGACCAAGUAGAGUCUUCCCUGUCUAAAGUGGAGCAGUCACCAGCGAAAUCAAUGCAUGAUGCACUUUCUCCAUUGAUGAAGGCAUUGGUUGCAAAUGAUCUCUUGAGGCAUUCUGAUGUUGAUGUGAAGGUCGCAGUUGCUUCGUGUAUUAGUGAGAUAACUAGAAUUACUGCACCAGACGCUCCAUAUGAUGACGACAAAAUGAAGGAUAUCUUUCAAUUAAUUGUGUCGUCUUUUGAGAAUCUGGAUGACCAGUCUAGCAGAUCUUAUAAUAAGAGGGUGAUGAUCCUUGAGACAGUGGCCAAGGUCAGGUCAUGUGUUGUCAUGCUGGAUCUAGAAUGUGAUGGGCUCAUCGCUGAGAUGUUUCAGCACUUCCUUAAAGCUAUAAGAGAGGAUCACUCUGAAAAUGUUUUUUCAUCCAUGGCAACAAUCAUGACUCUUGUGCUGGAAGAGAGCGAAGAAGUGUCGUUGGAAUUGCUUACCCCUCUAUUGGCUAGUGUUAAAAAGGACAAUGCGGAGGUCACACCAGUGGCUAAAAGGUUGGGAGAGACAGUAUUUGCAAACUGUGCUGCAAAGCUUAAGCCUUACUUGCCUCAAGCAGUAGAAUCAUUGCAAAUCUCCUUAAAUGAGUACAAUAAGAUUGUUACUUCAGUCUUGGAAGGGACUCUUCCAGCUGUUGAUGGUAUUAAUGACGGUGCUCCUAAGGACGAAUUGGUCACUGAAGUCAAGUUGGCUGAACUUCCGGAGGCUGCUCAGGCAACUCAGGAUGGUGGAAGCAAAGUGGGUCCAGCAUCUUCAGGCGAAGCAGUCCAGACGGCUGAGAGCGGGAGGGAUGAGGCAUGUUUGGAAGAUAUUGAGCCUGCUGUGAAUGGAUCUCCCAAAUCAAUCACAAGCAAUGGUGGUAGUUUGGAGAAUGUGAGAUUGACUUCUGAAACAGAAUCGCUGAUGAAAGCUGGAGCUCAUGAUGAGGUGGAUCUCCAUGAUGCUUCAAAGAUACCAUCUGAAUCUGAUGAUUCAAGGGUUGAAAAGUCUACAAAGUCGGAGCCCAAGUCUAUGAAGUCAGAGCCCAAGUCGGAGCAACCUUCUAAGAAGAGAGGAAGGAAGACAGUCUCUUCAAUAAACUCAGCCGAAUCUUCUCACCAAGCUCCUGAAGGAAGUGGAAAAGAAAUUGAGAAGCUUCAAGAUCAUCAGAAUGAUCAAAACAAAGAUGACCAUAGUUCAGCUUCUGAAGAUCCAGUGGUUGAGCAGUCCAAUCUGUUGGAGAAGGAACCAGAAACUAAUCAGCACUCUGCACCCAAAGAAUCUGAGGAGGAAGUUGUGGAUGUUGCUCCUCCAUCCCAAGGUCAGAGCCUUCCUGAAGAGAUUGCACUGAAGAAGGGUGAUCUCCCAAUGGAGGACAACUCAAAUCAAGACGGUGAGUCUAAGAAGGAAAUUGAAGCUGGAAGUGACUUGGAAGUUAAGCAGGUGAGGCGCCCUUUGAGGAAGACUCCUUUAGAACCUUGUCGUAAGGAGAAAGGUGGAUCCACCAGUGAUACCGAGGCUAAAAAGCUGAAGCAAUCGGGUAAGAAUGUUGACACCAAAAAUAAGAGUCAGGUUGGUCCAUCUGCGAGAAAUAAGGAAGAUAGCAAAAAACGUGGACAUGGAAAAGCUAGUCAGGAGACGUUGCCUUCACAAGAGUCUCCUGAUCGCUCUGUUAAACAUGAUGAAGAUAACGAAGAGGAAAUUCCCAGGACCACUACAAAGAGAAAGCGUUCUUCAAGCAAGGGCAGGGGGAGUAGGCAAGUUGUGCAGAAGAGUGUGCCUACGCCCGAGUCUCCCGACAAUUCAACUAAACAUAUAAGCGACGAAGAUGAGACUGACACAAGUGCAAAGAAAAAGCCUUCUUCAGGCAACGACAGGGUAACAGAGACUGUGCAAUGUGAUAAGAAUCUGGUUGGUAGAAAGAUCAGAGUUUGGUGGCCAUUAGAUGAACUAUUUUAUGAAGGGACGGUUAGCAAUUAUGAUUCUUCCAGGAAGAAGUUCACAGUUGACUAUACUGAUGGAGAGACAGAAAAAUUGAAUCUCUUGAAGGAACGCUGGGAACUUGUUGAAGAUGAUAAUAUGUCAGAAGAGGAGCAAGUAGCCAGCGCUGAUGCAGCAGCUUCGGAAAGUCAUAAGAAGAAAAAACCUAGGAAUGCUGAACCAUCACUAAAGCAUGAAAUGGAUGCUUCACCUAAAAGCAAGUCAAAAGAGGCGACAGCUAAAUCUGGACAGAAAUCCAAGGGUAAACUCAACUUGAAAGAUGGCACCUCAAAAUCUGCCGGGAAAGCUGAUGACACAACCAGCAGCAAGUCUGCGGCUCCAUCCAAAAGGAGCACUGGCAAAUCAGUUGAUACUGAAAAGCCAUCUGCCAGGUCUAAAGAUGUUAGUAGUAGUACUCCCAAAUCCAAGUCCAGGCAAGAUACUCCAUCAACAACUGCCAACAAGUCCAAGCAAGAAACAGUUAAAGCUGCCAACAAGUCCAAAACCAAAACCCCCCAAAGUGGUGGCAAGUCCGGUGCCAAUGGUUCGGAGAAGCUAAAAUCUAGUUCAUCAAAGGUUAAAGAGAGUGGGAACCAGAAGGAAAAAGCAACUAACUCAGCAAAAACCCCUGAUGGCAGCACCAAGGAGAAACUGUCUAGUGCAUCAAAGGAACGACAGAGUGAGCCCAAGAGUGGAAAGAAGCGUGCGAGGGGGAAAAACUGAUUAUUUGUUGCACAUUGUAAUAGUGGAGCUCCUCCUACUUACAUUCUUGGACCCAUUGCGGCUCAUUGAAGAUGCUACGGUGCCUACUAUUCCUUGUGUGCUAUUGCUGUUUGGCAAAAUCUUGAGGUGCAGCUUGCAAAUGCCUGUCUUAGCCUUUUGGUUAUGGUGGUGCGUGCUAGGUUUCUGGAUAGUUUUUUUUUUCAGUUUAAAGCAUAUUGUUAGAGAUGUAAUUGGUUAGAUUUAUCAUUUUGGUUGCUAGCUGUAUUCACUUUUGUUACUUUUAGCCCUCUUAGCGUAGGAAGGAGAUACUCUGUUGAUGAGUAUUUUAUGGAUGCGUUGGAUCAUAA
rnacentral:misc_RNA from 1 species